GUGCACCAGGCGCGAAUCCUCCGCAAUACACGAAAGUGUGACGGGGUUACCCAAAGUGUCCAAAUUUGGACUGUGGUAGGUGAGUAAUGUCCCCUACUAGAAAGGAGAGGGCAAGGCUGGUGCCAGCCGCCGCGGUAAAAACCAGCUCUUCAAGUGGUCGGGAUAAUUAUUGGGCUUAAAGUGUCCGUAGCCGGUUUAGUAAGUUCCUGGUAAAAUCGGGUAGCUUAACUAUCUGUAUGCUAGGAAUACUGCUAUACUAGAGGGCGGGAGAGGUCUGAGGUACUACAGGGGUAGGGGUGAAAUCCUGUAAUCCUUGUAGGACCACCAGUGGCGAAGGCGUCAGACUGGAACGCGCCUGACGGUGAGGGACGAAAGCCAGGGGAGCGAACCGGAUUAGAUACCCC
rnacentral:rRNA from 1 species